GCCUUAACCAACAAUGCAGUUUUAAGAAAAACAAGUGUUCAAAAAUUCUAAAUGAAACUAACAACUAAUUAAAGAGCAGCAGUAAAAUAACAGUAGCGAGACUAUAUACAGGGUGUUACGGUACAGAGUCAAUGUGGAGGCUAUAUACAGGGUGUUACGGUACAGAGUCAAUGUGUAGACUACAUACAGGGGGUACCGGUACAGAGUCAAUGUGGAGACUAUAUACAGGGUGUUACGGUACGGAGUCAAUGUGGAGACUAUAUACAGGGUGUUACGGUACAGAGUCAAUGUGGAGGCUAUAUACAGGGUGUUACGGUACAGAGUCAAUGUGGAGGCUAUAUACAGGGGGUACUGGUACAGAGUCAAUGUGGAGACUAUAUACAGGGUGUUACGGUACGAAGUCAAUGUGGGGACUAUAUACAGGGUGUUACGGUACAGAGUCAAUGUGGAGGCUAUAUACAGGGUGUUACGGAACGGAGUCAAUGUGGAGGCUAUAUACAGGGUGUUAUGGUAUGGAGUCAAUGUGGAGACUAUAUACAGGGUGUUACGGUACAGAGUCAAUGUGGAGACUAUAUACAGGGGGUACCGGUACAGAGUCAAUGCGGAGGCUAUAUACAGGGGGUAUAGAGUCAAUGUGGAGACUGUAUACAGGAAGUACCGGUACAGAGUCAAUGUGGAGGCUAUAUACAGAGUGUUACGAUACAGAGUCAAUGUGGAGGCUAUAUACAGGGGGUACCAGUACAGAGUCAAUGUGGAGACUAUAU
rnacentral:lncRNA from 1 species